UUGAACGCUGGCGGCAGGCCUAACACAUGCAAGUCAAACGGUAACAGGAAGAAGCUUGCUUCUUUGCUGACGAGUGGCGGACGGGUGAGUAAUGUCUGGGAAACUGCCUGAUGGAGGGGGAUAACUACUGGAAACGGUAGCUAAUACCGCAUAACGUCGCAAGACCAAAAAGGGGGACCUUCGGGCCUCUUGCCAUCGGAUGUGCCCAGAUGGGAUUAGCUAGUAGGUGGGGUAACGGCUCACCUAGGCGACGAUCCCUAGCUGGUCUGAGAGGAUGACCAGCCACACUGGAACUGAGACACGGUCCAGACUCCUACGGGAGGCAGCAGUGGGGAAUAUUGCACAAUGGGCGCAAGCCUGAUGCAGCCAUGCCGCGUGUAUGAAGAAGGCCUUCGGGUUGUAAAGUACUUUCAGCGGGGAGGAAGGGAGUAAAGUUAAUACCUUUGCUCAUUGACGUUACCCGCAGAAGAAGCACCGGCUAACUCCGUG
rnacentral:rRNA from 1 species